rnacentral:rRNA from 1 species
UACAGAGGUCUCAAGCGUUUGUUCGGGAUUCAUUGGGCGUAAAAGGGUGCGUAGGCGGCGCGGUAAGUCGGGUGUGAAAUCUCGGAGCUUAACUCCGAAACUGCAUUCGAUCUGCCGUGCUUGAGGACUGGAGAGGAGACUGGAAUUCAUUGGUGUAGCAGUGAAAUGCGUAGAGAUCAUGAGGAAGACCAGUGGCGAAGGCGGGUCUCUGGCAGUUCCUGACACUGAGACACGAAGGCCAGGGGGAGCAAACGGGG